rnacentral:lncRNA from 1 species
ACCAUACUGUCAUGCCUUGAAUAAACAAUUAAGGGUAAGUACGUAGAGGUUCAAUUAAGGGAACAACUAAUGAAGAAUUCUCUAAAUACUCAGUUAACCCAAAUAAGGUAAGAUAACAAAAUAAAGUUGCAGAUAUGGAAAUAAUCGAAAAUCAGUACAUGGUAAAUCAGGAAAUCAAGGAUUUCGAAAUCAUUGAUUUAAGGAGAGUAACAUGGGUUCCCAUGAAUAAACCAAGUUGAAAAAGGAGAAUAAAAAAUUUAAUAGAAAAUUUUCAAAUCAAUCCAAGAACAAGGAGCUCAGAGUCAAUCAAAGAGAAAAUCAUGUGUCCUGUUUUAGCAUAUAAAUAAAGUGCAUGGAACAUUAGGCAUGUGAGCCUAAACUAUAGCAAAGAGAAGCAUCAUGCAAUAACAAUCAUAAAGUCAAUAGACAGUGAAAUAUGGUAGUCACAUAGGUCAACUUCAUUAACUUAGUAAUAGAGAAAAGAGGGUAUCAGAAGCAUGCAAAGGGUCAAGUAAAAAGGCCCUUCUGAAAAGUAUAUAUUUUAGUUUCAAUGAUUGCAAGAAACCAAAUCACAUAGAGAAAUAGAAGUUUAAACAAAAAGGACCUCGAGUCCAGUCGAGCAACUUCAAAUAGAUGAAUCAGUUUUUAGAAGCUCGAAUAGGCCCCAAAGGAAUUAGGGUUUUGAAACCAAUCAAAUUCAAAGAUGAUGAACAAGUAAAUCACACAGCAAAUAACCUCAAAACUUUAACGAACCCAAAAUUUUAGGGUUUUCAACACCAAUCGAGUCUAGAGAUGAAAAAUAAAUACAUCAGACAAAUGCUAAAGAAUAGAUUCAGAAAAUCUCAAAAGAAAUUAAGGCCCUUAACAUGAAAACUCAAGUAUAAGAACUACAUAAGAAAACACAGCAGAACAUGUCAAAUAACUUAACAGAAUUCCUAAUCGGAAAAGAUAAGGGUCUUGAAGGUAGAGUGUUAGAAGCAUCUUUGAGAAAAAACGUUUAGAAGUUUAGAGCAAAUGCAGAUCUAUAAGAAAUUGGAAGAACCUUAAAGGUUAGGGUUUCAGAAGAAUCCCAAAUUGUGAGAAAGGCUUGGAAAACCAUCGAUCUAAGCAGGAGAGUCAAGAGUCAGGCUCAAAAAGCCAUGACUGGCUGGAGAGAGGUCAGAGAUGACCGGAGAACAACCUUAAACUAAAAUUGACCAAGGUUUGGACCAAGCUUUCCAGGGAUCUAGCCUAGGGUUUGAGAGAGUAUUAAGAGACGAUUGAGAGAGGAAG